rnacentral:rRNA from 1 species
GAAGUCUGAAAUUCGACUUCAUGAAGCUGGAAUUGCUAGUAAUGGCAGGUCAGCAUACUGCCGUGAAUACGUUCCCGGGCCCUUGUACACACCGCCCGUCACACCAUGAGAGUUGGGAAUACCCGAAGCCUGUGAGCUAACUGUAAAGAGGCAGCAGUCGAAGGUAGAAUCAAUGAUUGGGGUGAAGUCGUAACAAGGUACC